rnacentral:rRNA from 1 species
UACGUAGGGUGCAAGCGUUGUCCGGAAUUAUUGGGCGUAAAGAGCUCGUAGGCGGUUUGUCGCGUCUGCCGUGAAAGUCCGGGGCUCAACUCCGGAUCUGCGGUGGGUACGGGCAGACUAGAGUGAUGUAGGGGAGACUGGAAUUCCUGGUGUAGCGGUGAAAUGCGCAGAUAUCAGGAGGAACACCGGUGGCGAAGGCGGGUCUCUGGGCCGAUAUUGACGCUGAGGAGCGAAAGCGUGGGGAGCGAACAGG